CCAAUAGCGUAUAUUAAAGUUGUUGCAGUUAAAAAGCUCGUAGUUGAAUUUCGGGGUCAGUAGGCUGGUCGUGCCACAGGUAUGUACUGGUCUUACUGAUUCCUCCUUCCUGAUGAACCGUAAUGCCAUUAAUUUGGUGUUGCGGGGAAUCUGGACUGUUACUUUGAAAAAAUUAGAGUGUUUAAAGCAGGCUAACGCUUGAAUACAUUAGCAUGGAAUAAUGAAAUAGGACGAUCGAUCCUAUUUUGUUGGUUUCUAGGAUUGACGUAAUGAUUAAUAGGGAUAGUUGGGGGCAUUAGUAUCCAAUUGUCAGAGGUGAAAUUCUUGGAUUUAUUGAAGACUAACUACUGCGAAAGCAUUUGCCAAGGAUGUUUUCAUUAAUCAAGAACGAAAGUUAGGGGAUCGAAGACGAUCAGAUACCGUCGUAGUCUUAACCAUAAACUAUGCCGACUAGGGAUCGGAUGAUGUUAAUUUUUUAAUGACUCAUUCGGCGCCUUACG
rnacentral:rRNA from 1 species